GAGCGGAUGACGGGAGCUUGCUCCUUGAUUCAGCGGCGGACGGGUGAGUAAUGCCUAGGAAUCUGCCUGGUAGUGGGGGACAACGUUUCGAAAGGAACGCUAAUACCGCAUACGUCCUACGGGAGAAAGCAGGGGACCUUCGGGCCUUGCGCUAUCAGAUGAGCCUAGGUCGGAUUAGCUAGUUGGUGGGGUAAUGGCCUACCAAGGCGACGACGGGUAGCCGGCCUGAGAGGGUGACCGGCCACACUGGGACUGAGACACGGCCCAGACUCCUACGGGAGGCAGCAGUGGGGAAUAUUGCACAAUGGGCGCAAGCCUGAUGCAGCGACGCCGCGUGAGGGAUGACGGCCUUCGGGUUGUAAACCUCUUUCAGUAGGGAAGAAGCCCCCUUUGGGGGUGACGGUACUUGCAGAAGAAGCGCCGGCUAACUACGUGCCAGCAGCCGCGGUAAUACAGAGGGUGCAAGCGUUAAUCGGAAUUACUGGGCGUAAAGCGCGCGUAGGUGGUUUGUUAAGUUGGAUGUGAAAGCCCCGGGCUCAACCUGGGAACUGCAUCCAAAACUGGCAAGCUAGAGUACGGUAGAGGGUGGUGGAAUUUCCUGUGUAGCGGUGAAAUGCGUAGAUAUAGGAAGGAACACCAGUGGCGAA
rnacentral:rRNA from 1 species